rnacentral:misc_RNA from 1 species
GAGAGAGAGAGAGAGAGAAGGGUAUUUACAUGAAAGUUACAACUCUCUUGCAUAGUUCCCAAACUUUAUAUAUGAUUUAUUUUUGACAAAUUAACUGUUGGAUUUAAUCUCUAUUCAUCUAGAUGAUGCAUAUAGAAUUUUAAGUCAACAGAUGGAUUUAUGUACUUUUUUUAUUGGCAUAAAUAUUUAAUGUUUAAAUUUUACUUGAUAUAUUUAUGAAUAAAAUUACCAAAAUAAAUAAUAUUUGAUAAAAUUUGAAAUGCAUAAUCUACAUAAAACGUGCAUCAAAUGCAUUGCUCAAUUAUUAAAUGUUCAAAAAGUCUCUGUUAUUAAAAUUUGUAUAUUUGUGUAAAACGGAUCCCUUUCCUAUAUGUGUGUGUGCACGUAUGCACGCGUGUAUAAUGAUAAAAAUACCUUGGUUAACAGUUAGGAUAUAGAUAUGAAAAAUAUUAGUUUGAUUUAGCCACUCAGAGAAGCAAAUCUUGCUUAUUGGUCUUUUUUGUCAAUUAUUUCUUCCCGUGAAGAAUAAGAUUGUUGUUGGCCUUGGACUGAAGGAAUAUUAAGUUACCCAUCUCUUGUGCAGUUCGAUAUGAUCUUCGGCA